GGCUCUGGUGUCCGGGCUUACUCCUGUUCCUUCAUCGUCUUAGAAAUAGGGACUUGGAGGCAAACAGUCCCAUUACAAUGACGAAGACUACUCUCAACAUGAUGCACCCAAAUGAAUGCAUUUACCAGUUUGAUGUCUGCCUUUCUUCCUGGUUUGUUGCAUUCCGUAGAAGCAGAUCCUGAUAAGAUGAUGAAGUGCACAUGUCUCUUGAGAAAAUGCUCUCAGGAGAAGGGGGGAAGGUAAGCCAGGUGCAGCAGAGGACUGAGCAAGGUUGGGGUCUCAGCUGGACACUUCUUGGACCUGUUCCCACGGGAGCUCUGGAGUAUGAACUGUACCACAGAAUUGUCUCACCUAGAGGGAGAAGCUUACUGCUGUUUUCAUGGCUCUGCAUGCCCGGGGAAAGAGGAAGGCCACAGGAAGGUGACAGCUGAGGCAGGUCUGGCUCCUGGAGGAUGGGACACACAACGUGGGAACCGGCAAGUCACCAGAGUCAUCUCAGCCAAGAUCAACCAAUAGUCAAUUACCAGGAACGUGAGAGAAUUCUGAGACCAGGACUGCUCAGCCACCUCUGCCUAAAAUACCAACACACAGAACAGUAAAGUGAAUGGAUGUUUAUUAUCCUAAGCCACUAUAUUUUGAGAUUGUACCUCAUGCAGCACUAUUAUGACCAUAGGUGACUGAUAUAAAAAGUAAGGAAUUAUGAAUCAUAAGAAAAAGAUGAACCAAGGAAAGAAUCAGCUUUGAAGAGGUGGUAAACUAUGGGAGUUGGGUAUGCUUUUCUGCAAUGAUCUUGUCUUAUUUUCUUUUUUUUUAAAGGAAGGCCUACCUGAAUAAUUCUGUGCAGGAAGAUAAAAGCAAGAUUAGAGUGAGACCUAUUCAGGGAGGUGUCAUUUUGUGAGCAGUUCAUGACCAUACCCAAUAAUCAGGGUCUGUCUACAUAUCUGAAUUUUAAUCCUUACAUAUAUGGCCUUAGAUGAACUAAAAUAAUUAUAAGAAGUUGUGUCAUUGUAGACUUCUAUUAAUAAACAUAUACCUACAUAUAUACAUGUUUAUGCACAAGAAUCAGCCUGUAUAGGCAUAUUUACCUAGGCAUAUUCAUUGCAUAGUGCUCUCAUGGUUGUGACUUGGGUGGGUGUAGCAAAGUGACAGGCCAGGAUCUCACCACAUAGGAAGAACUUUGGUCUGGCCAAGACAGGGCCAGCUAGUGGCCUCCCUGCCAUUAGCUCUGUCUGCCACCCAAGACAGAAGAAGCCAACAGUCCAAAGGGACAUAGCAGCUUCAUUUUGGUUCUAGUUAGUGGUGCCAUAGAAGAGGAACAGGCAGAUAGGAUCUCAUCUAGGCCAUGAGACAAGCAAGAGUUCUCAAGAAGGGUAGACUCUUAGAAACAGGAGGCCAGUGAGACAUGGAUCUAAGAGGCAUAGCCAGGUAGAAGCAGCCCUAGUCAAUGGCUAGAAGUAUAAUAUCCCAAUAAAAGAGGCAUUCUUAGAAAGCUGGGCAGCAUCUCAGGACCACACAUGAUUGGGGAAAAGGGGUUGGUGAGGGGCAGACCCAGCCAGUUAGGCCUGUAGGUGCUGGGACAGGGUGGGGGAUGCAUUGUACCCACAGAAUAAAGCCAUAAGGGUGAAUAGCAAGAGCCACAUUGUGGAUCACCCUGGAGCAGGUGUCAGAGUGAAGCCUGACAUAUGGAAGCUCUAGGAACACAAUGGUAACCAGGGGAAUAGAGGAAGAAAGAGAGGUUUCAAGGCCUCAGUAAAGCUGAGACUCAGGAACAGCAGGUGUGCACAAGUGCUAAGUGGUCUGGAUUAAUUCACGAGCUGGGUGCCAAUGCCUGGCUCAGCUUCUAUGGGCUCCUGGAGGAUCCUUAAGAGGUGAUAAAGUUCAGGUAAAGACAGUGGACUGGGACCAGGCAGAGCCUGGGAUCCUGG
ensembl:lncRNA novel transcript